UCCAAAUUUUACUUCUUUUGAAAAAUUUUUCAAAAUUUUUUUCUUAUAAAAAAUUUGGUGUUUUUUUUUGUUCUUUUUUCACUUUUACUGUCGCGUCAUUGCAAAUUGUGCAUUGUUCGAAUGCACAUGAGAGACGUUGUGCUCUUACCAAUGCAGGCUAGUUCAUGGGGGCAUCAUUGGCAAUGCAUGUACUCCAAUAUAUUGAAGCACACAAAUACACAUGCAGACUCUCAUGCCAUGCAAACUUUGACCACAUAGCCUAGAAUUUCCGCAUCCUUUGCGAAAAAUUUCCGGUCUGGUGAUCUUUGGUGGUUAUGGUCAAAUGUUUUGAAUUUUAUAAAUGUACCAAAGAGUACAAGAGGACAACAUCGGCUGCUCUGUUAUGAGAUCCUGUUCCCACACAAUAAGUUUGAUAUAAAAUUCAACCAAUUGGAAACACCACUGAUGGGAUCUCAGAGCUGCACAGUAAGCCAUACGCUUCACCUAAUACGAAUUUCUGCGACUUUUGCCCCAUCCAAACAUUAAAGAUCAUCAGAGCGGAAGAAUUAUUCGAAAUACAAGGAAAUAGGAUUAUGUGAGGCAAACAGUAUAAAUUACACUCAUGCCCGCAUUGUUGCCAAUGCUGUACUGCUGUUGCCGCUCACAAACAAGGAGAGAGAGAAAGAAAACAUUGAAAUGCUUAAUCCAAGUGACAAAUUUUUCGAAUGGUAGCACAGUGGUUGAACAGCAAUAAGGCCUCCCUAAAUAUUCUGUGCUCCCAUGACUUUUGCUUUCGCUCCACUGAACUUUGCAUAAUGUGGUGGUUGGUGCCAAUAGAUGGAUGGCUGGCUGGACAGAAUUCAUUCAAAUAACAAAUUAAAUGCAAUUGCUACCCUGGUGACGUCUACAAUGUCUAACUAAAUUAGUGCCUACUUUUAGGCUUCUGCUGAUAUCUGCUUUCCUGCUGUAUAUUCGUAUGCUUCAAGUUUUUGAAAUUAUAAAAAAAAACACAGACUAAUCUCUUCCGGCUUAACUCGAGAAUCAGUUGUACUCAAGUAGAAAUGACCUGAAAGGGAUAUCAGAAUCCGAAAAAGGAUUGCAGUAUGAAAAGCAAGGAUAUUUGGUAUCCACCAAGGAUAUUUGGUAUUCAUUCAUUUCUCUUUGCAAUGUGAAAUGAAUUUCAAACUGGCGUAACUUGGCUAACAGGCUUUCAGAAUUUUCAACAAUCAUGCCGUGUAGCUGAGAAUUUGUAUGGCAUAGCCAAAUACGUCACCGGACACAAAACUAUCACACUUGGAUGAGAAGCAGUCAAUGGAUCGAAAAUUGCCAACAGUGAUGUUCAUGGCAUGGCAUUCUAGCACCAUAAUGGUUGGUUCGUCUGUUUGGUGUAGAGUGCCGCCACCGCACUCAAAUGAGAGAAUUCAUGCCAUUUGGGCAGUAGCAGCUCUAAAUCCAAUACACUGGGCACAUGACUUCAGGGCCGCAUGAGUAAAGCGGCAGAAAUCAGCCAACGUGAACCAUCAUCACACUUGGAUGGGGAAAUGUGCAUUGGAGUGCAACUGCCCAUUGAAGUUUAUGCUGUGGAAACCAAUGUAUUGGGAUUGCAUAAUAUCGGAAAAGGCAGAAACUAAAAAAAA